rnacentral:sRNA from 1 species
UUGAAUCAACAUGGCAAAAAGAUUUAAGAUUUAGAUCUAGGUGUUUGUCCGGACUAGUCCAAGCUAUGCCACGAUGUGUAGAAACUAUGUAUCUUCUAAGCAAUGAAACUAGGUAUCAUUUUAAGCGUUAUUUUCUUAUUGUUCAACAUACCUUUCACACAAGAAGUAUCGUCUGGGGCCUGGACGACCUGGUCAGACUGGGAGUGCAACUUGAACUGCUAUAAUCCGCAAAUGUUUAGAAAAAGAAACUGUACAGACCCAAAUGUUACAGAAGCAAUUGUCUACUGCAUUGGCCAUAACAAAGAACAUUCACAAGCCACCUGCAAAGUAAUCUGUC